rnacentral:misc_RNA from 1 species
GGCUUUGGAGAAAGAUGAGGUGACAGAGGUGGCUUUAGAGAAUGAGGUGGCAGAGGCAUUGGAAGUCACAAAGGGAGAAGCAGAAAUUUGUAUGCCAGAGGGUACUGGCGAUGAGGAAGUGGUCAUGACUGCAAAGGAAAAUGAGAAUGAUGAAAUUUUGGCUGGAAAUGAUAAUAUUGAGGGGACGGAGAAUGGCGAAGCAGUGACAGAGGCAGAUGUUUUAACUGUUGAAGGUAGUGUAGGUUUAGGAAAAAAUGGGGAAAUGGAGGAAGUUAAGUGCGAGGAAGUGGGAAUUACUCCUGUUGUGUUAGAUGAUUCAGGAGGGAUCACUCUAGAAAAAGAAGCUGAAGAAAUGGAAACUGACCAUAAAACUGCUAAUGCAGAAGAAAAUGAUGAUAUGGUGUCACAUGUAGAUAUUGCAGCUGUUGAAGCUGGAGUAAAAUUGGAGAAAGAUGUCGAAAUGGAUACAAUUAAGCACGAAGAAGUGGAAUAUACUCCUCUGGCUGAAGAGGACAAAGGGGCAGGUGCUGAGGACGAGGCUGCUAAUGGGGAAAAAGUGGUAGUGACUCAAAAUGAGGAAGAUGAUGAAAUGGUGACACAGGUAGAUAUUUCAGCUGUUGAAGCUAGAAUAGAGCCU